CUUUACUGACGCUAAAGCUCGAAGGUGCGGGUAUCGAACAGGAUUAGAUACCCUGGUAGUCCGCACGGUAAACGAUGGAUGCCCGCUGUUCGCGAUAGACUGUGAGCGGCCAAGAGAAAUCGUUAAGCAUCCCACCUGGGGAGUACGCCGGCAACGGUGAAACUCAAAGGAAUUGACGGGGGCCCGCACAAGCGGAGGAACAUGUGGUUUAAUUCGAUGAUACGCGAGGAACCUUACCCGGGCUUGAACUGCCAGCGAACGAUACAGAGAUGUUGAGGCCCUUCGGGGCGCUGGUGGAGGUGCUGCAUGGUUGUCGUCAGCUCGUGCCGUGAGGUGUCGGCUUAAGUGCCAUAACGAGCGCAACCCUUUUCAUUAGUUGCCAUCAGGUAAUGCUGGGCACUCUGGUGAUACUGCCACCGUAAGGUGUGAGGAAGGUGGGGAUGACGUCAAAUCAGCACGGCCCUUACGUCCGGGGCUACACACGUGUUACAAUGGGGAGUACAGAGAGUCAGGCGUUGGCAACACCGCCUUAAUCAAUAAAGCUCUCCUCAGUUCGGAUUGGGGUCUGCAACCCGACCCCAUGAAGCUGGAUUCGCUAGUA
rnacentral:rRNA from 1 species